GGCUUGUGGGUGUAUGUUGGAUCCCUGCUCGGAGCAGCGACGACAUCUUGUGCACGCCUGUUCAGAAUGACCCUAUUUCAUAAGGUUCGCAGCUGGUUUCCUGUGUUGCAUACCUAUCUCGACGGUAUAGUGUUGCUCAAAACGACCCUCUUUCGCCCUACGCUGCAAGAAGAAUAUCUUGCGGCUGAUGGUGGACCGAAAAGCAUUCGUUGUGUUCCACACUGCCCACCACAUGUGUUGGUGCGGUGUUGGCCCACAACGGCGUGCUCGAAUUCUCGGAUGUGGAAUACUAAGCGGGUAUGAGGCCAUUGGUCUUCUAUCUACCCCAAACAAGCGUUCGACGCUUCGUGCGAAUGACGAUCUUCCUCGUCUUGGUUGGGUCUUCGGGCUCCGUCCAUCCGAGGUCGACGUCAAUAAGGAAUGCUACCUGGUUGAUCCUGCCAGUAGUCAUAU
rnacentral:misc_RNA from 1 species